UCUUUUUGAGAGUUUGAUCCUGGCUCAGGAUGAACACUGGCGGCGUGGAUAAGGCAUGCAAGUCGAGAGGGUUAGACCCUCGGCAAACGGGUUAGUAAUACAUAGGAACGU
rnacentral:rRNA from 1 species